rnacentral:rRNA from 1 species
AUUGAACGCUGGCGGCAGGCUUAACACAUGCAAGUCGAGCGCCCCGCAAGGGGAGCGGCGGACGGGUGAGUAACACGUGGGAAUUUUCCUCAAGGUACGGAACAACUCAGGGAAACUUGGGCUAAUACCGUAUGAUGCAGAGAUGCCAAAGAUUUAUCGCCUUGGGAUAAGCCCGCGUCAGAUUAGGUAGUUGGUGGGGUAACGGCCUACCAAGCCUGUGAUCUGUAGCUGGUCUGAGAGGACGAUCAGCCACAUUGGGACUGAGACACGGCCCAAACUCCUACGGGAGGCAGCAGUGGGGAAUCUUGCGCAAUGGACGAAAGUCUGACGCAGCCAUGCCGCGUGAAUGAUGAAGGUCUUAGGAUUGUAAAGUUCUUUAGCCUGUGACGAUGAUGACGGUAACAGGAAAAUAAGCCCCGGCUAACUUCGUGCCAGCAGCCGCAGUAAGAC